GAGAGACAGAGAGAGAGAAGGAGGAGGGGUGGAAGCACAUGAAAAACUGCGUAACCCACUGCUGGUUGAGAUAGACGGGGCAGAAAGGUUGCCUUUCUGGGUCGUAGGCGCUAUCUGGAGCUUUGCUGCACUUUUAUGCGAAACGACAGCGGAUUGAGAAGACCUGCCGAGGUGCUGGGUAGUUCUUCUGUAACUAAGUUCCUGAGAUGGUCCUCACUGCAGAACACAAGAUCCAGGGGGUGUGGUUGGAUCUAGAUCCAACUCCUCCCACCUUACAUUUACCUAAACCUACCCGUCUCCACCCCCUGUUCCCUAAACCCACCCAUCUCCACCCCUAAACCUACCAAUAUCCACCCCCUGGAUGUGGAUCCAACCCUGCCCCCUGGAUCUUUUGUUCUGUAGUGAGGGGCUACUGAAGUUCCUGGGCCAUUUUUAAUGCUGGGUUAUUUUUUUCUACCCAACCGCUGGGUUGAGCCUGUCUCCGAAGAAACAACGCAGCUGCUGAGUUGACAUUCAGAGUGUGGGCUUUUUGAGUCCUCUACUGGAGAGAGCGGUUCUCAGCACCGCAGAUUUGGUGCACUUCUUCAGCAAAAUAAAGGUUUUGGAGUCAGUCAUGGCAUCUCUCAGUUACGAAACGUGAGGCCGCGGUCUAAAGUUUGCAGUUCCCCCGCGAACAGCAGCCCUUCACCGGCUCAGAUUUCAGCGACACACCGACACGAGAAUUAGCACUAUUUCGGUAAAACGGUUGAAAAUUAAAAUGCUACUUUUAAAUGUUACAUUUUUAUGUCUAAAAUUUCUUUAACAUUUUUGUUAAACUAUUUUAAAUGCAUGUAAUAUUGUAAACUAUGCUGUAUUCACCCAAAUAAAUUUCAUUUGUCUUGUAUUUUGUCCAUGCGUGUUCUUGCUUAAUAAUAAAUGCCCAUCUUUUGAUUAUUGCUGUUGCCAAUAGAUGACUUAAAUAAAACAACCCAGCAUGUUUGGUAAAAACAUUUAAAAUGACCCACAUGUUCUGUCCAAUAUAUUUA